AAACACAGAUUAAAUGGAAUCGAGUAGCGUUGAUGAGAGUACUACAAGUACAGGUUCCAUCUGUGAAACCCCGGCGAUAACUCCGGCGAAAAAGUCGUCGGUAGGUAACUUAUACAGGAUGGGAAGCGGAUCAAGCGUUGUGUUAGAUUCAGAGAACGGCGUAGAAGCUGAAUCUAGGAAGCUUCCGUCGUCAA
rnacentral:sRNA from 1 species